UGGGGAAUUUUGGGCAAUGGAGGCAACUCUGACCCAGCAACGCCGCGUGAAUGAUGAAGGUCUUCGGAUUGUAAAGUUCUGUGAUGGGGGACGAAGAAAGUGACGGUACCCCAAUAGCAAGCCACGGCUAACUACGUGCCAGCAGCCGCGGUAAUACGUAGGUGGCAAGCGUUGUCCGGAAUGACUGGGCGUAAAGGGUGCGUAGGUGGCUAAUCAAGUUGGUAGUGAAAUUCCGGGGCUCAACUCCGGCGCUACUACCAAAACUGAUUGGCUUGAGUGCAAGAGAGGUAAGCGGAAUUCCUAGUGUAGCGGUGGAAUGCGUAGAUAUUAGGAAGAACACCGGAGGCGAAAGCGGCUUACUGGCUUGUAACUGACACUGAGGCACGAAAGCGUGGGGAGCAAACAGG
rnacentral:rRNA from 2 species